GUGCUCCCGGUGGAAACAAGGGAGCCCAGCCGGAGCCAUGGCCAGUACAGUGGUAGCAGUUGGACUGACCAUUGCUGCUGCAGGAUUUGCAGGCCGUUAUGUUUUGCAAGCCAUGAAGCAUAUGGAGCCUCAAGUAAAACAAGUUUUUCAAAGCCUACCAAAAUCUGCCUUCAGUGGUGGCUAUUAUAGAGGUGGGUUUGAACCCAAAAUGACAAAACGGGAAGCAGCAUUAAUACUAGGUGUAAGCCCUACUGCCAAUAAAGGGAAAAUAAGAGAUGCUUAUUGACGAAUUAUGCUUUUAAAUCAUCCUGACAAAGGAGGAUCUCCUUAUAUAGCAGCCAAAAUCAAUGAAGCUAAAGAUUUACUAGAAGGUCAAGCUAAAAAAUGAAGUAAAUGUAUGAUGAAUUUUAAGUUCAUAUUAGUUUAUGUAUAUGAGUACUAAGUUUUUAUAAUAAAAUGCCUCAGAGCUACAAU